rnacentral:rRNA from 1 species
UACGUAGGGUGCAAGCGUUAAUCGGAAUUACUGGGCGUAAAGCGUGCGCAGGCGGUUUGGUAAGACAGAUGUGAAAUCCCCGGGCUUAACCUGGGAAUUGCGCUUGAAACUAGGUCGCUAGAGUGGUGGCAGAGGGGGGUGGAAUUCCACGUGUAGCAGUGAAAUGCGUAGAGAUGUGGAGGAACACCGAUGGCGAAGGCAGCCCCCUGGGUCAACACUGACGCUCAUGCACGAAAGCGUGGGGAGCAAACAGG